UACGUAGGGUGCAAGCGUUAAUCGGAAUUACUGGGCGUAAAGAGCGCGCAGGCGGUCGUAUAAGUCGAAUGUGAAAGCCCCCGGCUCAACUGGGGAGGGUCAUUCGAUACUGUUCGACUCGAAGGCAGGAGAGGGGAGUGGAAUUCCGGGUGUAGUGGUGAAAUGCGUAGAUAUCAGGAGGAACACCGGUGGCGAAGGCGGGUCUCUGGGCCGAUACUGACGCUGAGGAGCGAAAGCGUGGGGAGCGAACAGG
rnacentral:rRNA from 1 species